UAAAGCAGGUGUUCCAGAAACUUCCCCGGAAUUCUUGUGGUGAUUCCAUGUUUUGUCCUCCACGUUCAGCCACCCCCCCCCCGGAAACUGUUGCACGAGCGGGCUUGCAGACGGAAACAACAUUUGGCGCCUGAACAGGGGACUGCUAUACUGGGUAAAGAUUGAAGUUUCGGGUGAAUGCUUUGAAAAGUGGCCAAAAGGAAAGAGAACACAGGAGACUCUCAAGGCUGAGGAACAGUGGUGGUCUUUAUCCUGUUCUCCAAGUAGUGGACACACUUGCUCAGCCCUCGGGAAACAUCUUAGAGAAGGACCUGGAGAGGAGUGACUUUGUGGUAUACCUAGAGAGACUGAGUAUUAGACUUUGGAGAGUGCUCUCUUCGGCAGCACAUAUACUAAAAUAAACUUUGGAGCAAAGAUACCUGUGCUGAGCUUGGCAGAAGUCAGCAGAGCUGCCUGACCUUCAGUGAUCAUAAGAACUUGGAUGCUGAGCACAUGAAUGGUGAUUAGUAUGAACUGAAAACAAGUGGACUCCGCCCAAGUGACACGCUCUGGGGCCUCCGACUGCACCCCAUGAUGUACCCUAAGGAUGCUUCGGUACACUCACAGUCCACACCGCAGUGGUGGUUGCUUUUCAUUUGGCCCCAGCCUGACAGGUCCAAGGUGAUGGGGCCAAGAAACUAUGGGCUGAAUCUUAUGAAACUGUUCCCUCUGAAGUCUGGAAUCCUUGGGUUUCCAUUAAGGAACUGGUAACUAGUGCACACUGAAGGCCAGUCUCGGGCAACAAGGACCCGCACGUUGGAUCCAGAAUUGCUAAACUACCUAAUAUGUGUAUGGGACCGGGAACAUAAAAAGAGACAGAAGAGGACCCAAGUUGGAGGGCUUGUUUUCAGAGCAGAUGGAGAGGAAAGACACAGGCACUGUGAUAUCUUUUCUCACCUCCAGUGGCAUGUUCAGGCUCAAGACUCUUCCUUCUUGAAAGGUUCCUUCUUCAUCAUGCAAGUCCUGUCAGUUUUUCCUCACUCCUAACUCCAACAUUCUGUCGGGGGUUAUGGUCCUGGGAACGAGCUUCAGAGAGAAACUUUUCUCAGGAUAAAGAAUUAAUGGGUAGAUACUUGGAAGCUUGCAUGGUCAGAUGGACGUGCGGAUGAACCAGGGCCACUGUCAUCAGGAUGCCUGGGAGAGUGAAGAAAGGCCUGAUUGAUCACAAGGUCCUAUCAAAUGUCAAAGCUGGCCCUGGAUGACCUCCCAUCUAUUCAGAGCUGCUUUGAUUUAAUCUCUAAACUGGCCGCUUCUGCAGGCUGCGAGUUCUAUCUGCAACCCAUGUGUCAGCAUUGAGAUAUGACCUGCUUCACGCUCCAUUCAUCUCAUUUGAAGGACGGAAAUUAAACUCAAGGGUCGAAGAGGGGAACUGCUCAAAAUACACGCACAUUAACGGAAGCCUUUUGUGUGGGUGCAUUAUAGGAGUUUGAACAACCAUUAAAAAUUAUAUUAAAAUGAAAUUGAUCUUUACUCCACUGAAAUGGUUUAGAAUUUUGCUUCCUUCACCACCUCUCCAUUCAUGCUUCUUUCUUCUCUCCUCUGUUUGUAGUAAUCAUAUGUACCUGAUCUCAUUAAGGUUCAGAGUAAAAGAGGAGAAAAACUUACAAUUUUUCAGUUUCUGUAAAAAUGGUGCCCUUUGGAAAAUUCAUGUUUUGUCUGUAAUUUGCACAGGCAAUUUAAAAAGAAGAAAGAUAAGAAAAGCUGAUAAGCAUGCUAAUAGAAAUGUAGCCCAGCUUAAAUGAAUCAAUACUCAUUUAAGUUUCACCUUUAAAAGUUUUUUUUUUUUAUUCAAUUAAAACUCAACUUUUGGAAUAGUCUUUUGACUAAUA